GGACUGGGAGCGUACACAGGUGCUGCAUGGCUGUCGUCAGCUCGUGUCGUGAGAUGGUUGGGUUAAGUCCCGCAACGAGCGCCAACCCCUGCUGCCAGUUGCCAACGGGUAGAGCCGGGCACUCUGGCGGGACUGCCAUCGACAAGAUGGAGGAAGGUGGGGAUGACGUCAAGUCAUCAUGGCCCUUAUGUCCAGGGCGACACACGUGCUACAAUGGCCGGCACAGCGGGAAGCGAGGCAGUGAUGCCAAGCGGAUCCCUUAAAGCCGGUCUCAGUUCGGAUUGAAGUCUGCAACUCGACUUCAUGAAGCUGGAAUCGCUAGUAAUCGCAGAUCAGCCAAGCUGCGGUGAAUACGUUCCCGGGCCUU
rnacentral:rRNA from 1 species